UACGGGGGGUGCGAGCGUUGUCCGGAAUCACUGGGCGUAAAGGGCGCGUAGGCGGCGUCGUAAGUCUGUGGUGAAAGCCCGGAGCUCAACUCCGGGUCUGCCGCGGAUACUGCGAGGCUUGAGUGCUGUAGAGGGGGGUAGAAUGCCGGGUGUAGCGGUGGAAUGCGUAGAGAUCCGGCAGAACACCAGUGGCGAAGGCGGCCUUCUGGACCAGUACUGACGCUCAUGCACGAAAGCGUGGGGAGCAAACAGG
rnacentral:rRNA from 1 species